rnacentral:rRNA from 1 species
AUUGAACGCUGGCGGCAGGCCUGACACAUGCAAGUCGAAUGGUAACAGGAAACAGCUUGCUGUUUCGCUGACGAGUGGCGGACGGGUGAGUAAUGUCUGGGAAACUGCCCGAUGGAGGGGGAUAACUACUGGAAACGGUAGCUAAUACCGCAUAACGUCGCAAGACCAAAGAGGGGGACCUUCGGGCCUCUUGCCAUCAGAUGUGCCCAGAUGGGAUUAGCUAGUAGGUGGGGUAACGGCUCACCUAGGCGACGAUCCCUAGCUGGUCUGAGAGGAUGACCAGCCACACUGGAACUGAGACACGGUCCAGACUCCUACGGGAGGCAGCAGUGGGGAAUAUUGCACAAUGGGCGCAAGCCUGAUGCAGCCAUGCCGCGUGUAUGAAGAAGGCCUUCGGGUUGUAAAGUACUUUCAGCGGGGAGGAAGGGAGUAAAGUUAAUACCUUUGCCCAUUGACGUUACCCGCAGAAGAAGCACCGGCUAACUCCGUG